rnacentral:rRNA from 1 species
GACGAACGCUGGCGGCGUGCUUAACACAUGCAAGUCGAACGGAAAGGCCCUGCUUUUGUGGGGUGCUCGAGUGGCGAACGGGUGAGUAACACGUGAGUAACCUGCCCUUGACUUUGGGAUAACUUCAGGAAACUGGGGCUAAUACCGGAUAGGAGCUCCUGCUGCAUGGUGGGUGUUGGAAAGUUUCGGCGGUUGGGGAUGGACUCGCGGCUUAUCAGCUUGUUGGUGGGGUAGUGGCUUACCAAGGCUUUGACGGGUAGCCGGCCUGAGAGGGUGACCGGCCACAUUGGGACUGAGAUACGGCCCAGACUCCUACGGGAGGCAGCAGUGGGGAAUAUUGCACAAUGGGCGGAAGCCUGAUGCAGCAACGCCGCGUGCGGGAUGACGGCCUUCGGGUUGUAAACCGAUUUCGCCUGUGACGAAGCGUGAGUGACGGUAAUGGGUAAAGAAGCACCGGCUAACUACGUG